GCUUUGGGAUGGACAGGAUUGCUGACAGUUGAUGCCAAAAAAUCGGUUCAGUGCAGUCUACAGAAUGCAAAAAAGAACGCCGCCGAAGCCCAUGGGGCACCAAGAACUGAUGUGGGAAGAAAAAAACACCACGACAGCGAAGACUUCUCCGAGUCAGACGUUUCGGACUCUGAAUGUAUUGUGUCAGCUGCUGAAGUAAAGAAGGCUAAUGAACAGGC